rnacentral:rRNA from 1 species
GACGAACGCUGGCGGCGUGCUUAACACAUGCAAGUCGAACGGGCCCGCUCUCUUUUUUGGGGGUGGGUUGAGUGGCGAACGGGUGAGUAUCCCGUGAGUAACCUGCCCCCUGCUCCUGGAUAACUGCUUGAAAGGGCGGCUAAUACGGGGUGUGCCGGCUGGUCCGCAUGGGCCUGGUCGGGAUAGUUUCAUCUUCGGGUGUUUCGGUGGGGGAUGGGCUCGCGGCCUAUCAGCUUGUUGGUGGGGUGAUGGCCCACCAAGGCGGUGACGGGUAGCCGGCCUGAGAGGGUGGGCGGCCAGACUGGGACUGAGACACGGCCCAGCCUCCUGCGGGAGGCAGCAGUGGGGGGUAUUGAAGGAUGGGCGGAAGCCUGAUGCAGCGACGGCGCGUGAGGGAUGGAGGCCGUCGGGUUGUGAACCUCUUUCUCCGGGGGUGAAGGCCCUGUCCGUUGCGGCGGGGUUGACGGUAGCCGGGUAUGAAGCGCCGGCUAACUACGUG